AUGCAGUCGAGGGGUAGAGGAGAGCUUGCUUUCCUUGAGACCGGCGCACGGGUGCGUAACGCGUAUGCAACCUACCUUAAUCUGGGGGAUAGCCUCUCGAAAGAGAGAUUAACACCGCAUAAAAUCAAAGAACGGCAUCGUUUAAUGAUCAAAUAUUNAUAGGAUUAAGAUGGGCAUGCGUGACAUUAGCUAGUUGGUGAGGUAACGGCUCACCAAGGCGACGAUGUCUAGGGGAUCUGAGAGGAUGACCCCCCACACUGGUACUGAGACACGGACCAGACUCCUACGGGAGGCAGCAGUAAGGAAUAUUGGUCAAUGGAGGCAACUCUGAACCAGCCAUGCCGCGUGCAGGAAGACGGCCCUACGGGUUGUAAACUGCUUUUAUUCGGGAAUAAACCUUUUUACGUGUAAGAAGUUGAAUGUACCGAAAGAAUAAGGAUCGGCUAACUCCGUGCCAGCAGCCGCGGUAAUACGGAGGAUCCAAGCGUUAUCCGGAUUUAUUGGGUUUAAAGGGUGCGUAGGCGGCUUAUUAAGUCAGGGGUGAAAGACGGUGGCUCAACCAUCGCAGUGCCUUUGAUACUGAUGAGCUUGAAUACACUAGAGGUAGGCGGAAUGUGACAAGUAGCGGUGAAAUGCAUAGAUAUGUCACAGAACACCAAUUGCGAAGGCAGCUUACUAUGGUGUCAUUGACGCUGAGGCACGAAAGCGUGGGGAUCAAACAGGAUUAGAUACCCUGGUAGUCCACGCCCUAAACGAUGAAUACUCGAUGUUAGCGAUAUACAGUUAGCGUCUAAGCGAAAGCGUUAAGUAUUCCACCUGGGGAGUACGCCCGCAAGGGUGAAACUCAAAGGAAUUGACGGGGGCCCGCACAAGC
rnacentral:rRNA from 1 species